GUUACCCCAUUUCCUGACCUUGUGCCUGCUUCCUCUUCCGUGAGUCUUCCUGUCUGAAAGGCAGGUGUAGCCCCGCAGCCUUGCUCCUCUAUUUUAAGGUUAGCGAUCCGUGGUUUUAACUCCUAUUUAUUGUAGCUUCCUGGUUUAUGGGAAAUUACCAGAUUGCGCUGUGAACCAGCUCGUUAGCCGCGCAUAGAAAACUGGGGCGAGACUGCGUCUGGCUAACAGGACCAGAGAGGUCUUUACCAAUCAAAGUGUGGGGGGCCUUCCCAGGGCCUGAGGUAGACUAGAGGAAUGGUUGCUUGGAUGCGCUGCUGUUUUGCCUCUUUUUCCUAGCUUAUUAUUGCGCAUUUAAUGUAGUUGUUGCCGCGGUCGCUCCAGUUCACUGGGAGGACAUAUGCAAAUCGGUCCGGUCAACAGUGAGCUGAAACUGGGCUGGGGUGAUGUUGCGCUGCACUGGUUCUGAUGUCCUGGGGAAUUCUCAUGCAAAUGCUCUUCCGUUAAGCAGAUGUUAAACUCUGUUUAUCCAUGCGAGGCUUACCUUUGAUCACGGGGGGAGUUUGUUAAAAUGGAUGUGGUAAUUGCUAGACAAAACACUUUUCAAUUCUCCAACCCUGCAAGCACCAAGGCAAUAUCCACACUAUAUGCAUCGCCAGAUUUUAGGGUGUGAAUAUUCUUUGUGGAGAUAUAAGAAAAUUCAAAAAGGGUGAACAGUGUGUGGACACCCUUAUGUCUAAUAGAGCAUAUGAAUUUACUUGUCUUCAUCUUGUACUCAAUGGAUUAAGUCCUAUAGAGCAAGGGCAGACAAGGAGGCUAAAAUCUGUUUUUUAUUUUUUAUUUCAUGACAAUCUCUGCUCUUAACUUAAUUAUCACAAUCAUUUAAAUGAUCGGAAAUGUUAACUAAAUUUUAUGAAUGACAUAUAAUGAUCAAUGACAAAUGAAAGACUCCCAGGUUUGUGAGCUUAAGUUCAUGUAAACAGACCAUCCAGAUAUGAUAUAGGUCAGUGGGUUGCAGAGAUGUUGCAUCCUUUGUAACAUUGUUCAUUAGUAAUAUUAAUGUUAUUUCAUAUUUUAUGUGCCUGUCUUGUUGAACCAGCAGAUACUAUAUGCUUGGGGUUCAAAACUGCUUUGUGCAUGCAUGUGUGUGAGAGAUUUUCAUUUUAUUUGUAACACAGAAAGGGUAGAAUAUGGUCUACAAAAGGCAAUUUUUUACAUGAGAAUACUACCUUGCAAUGUGGAAGUGUACAGGAAUCUAUAUAUUGUUUGCAAAUAAUCCAUAGCAAAAUGUAUACAUUUUAAAAAGCUUUACAUUUCAUGAAAGGUAAAUCCUGACAUUAAUUCCAAGUCCUUGACAAAUCCAGGGGAUGAAGCAUGUGUUUGCAUACAUUUCUCAGAAGCGUUUCUGCUAUGCAGACAUGUCACUGUUCAAUUGCCUGUGGCUUUAAAGAAAAUGCAUUUUAUAUCAGAGAAUUGCCAAUUAUUCCUUCUUCCGUGUAUUGAAUUUUAUAACUAUGACAGUGAUUCUCAACCUCGGUCCUGGAGUCCUCUGUUCAUGCUGGUUUUUGCUACAACCAAACUCUUGCUUAGUUAAGGCUGUUGAACAUGUGUAUAGGUUCGUUCUUUAUUUUUUCCUUAAAGCUAAAAGAAACCUGAUCUUAAAUUUUGUUAUUUUAUG